rnacentral:rRNA from 1 species
UACGUAGGGUGCGAGCGUUGUCCGGAAUUAUUGGGCGUAAAGGGCUCGUAGGCGGUCUGUUGAGUCGGGAGUGAAAACUCAGGGCUUAACCCUGAGCCUGCUUCCGAUACGGGCAGACUAGAGGUAUGCAGGGGAGAACGGAAUUCCUGGUGUAGCGGUGAAAUGCGCAGAUAUCAGGAGGAACACCGGUGGCGAAGGCGGUUCUCUGGGCAUUACCUGACGCUGAGGAGCGAAAGUGUGGGGAGCGAACAGG